rnacentral:misc_RNA from 1 species
GCUUUCCUUUAAGAAAGGUGGCCUUAAUCCAUGCAUUAAAAAUGCGUCCAUUACAAGAAUCAAAGUCCACAAAAUGGAAAGAUAUGGCAAUGCACAGAAGCAUUUUCUAAUUUUCAAGAUUUCCACUGUUUUGCAUCAAUGGGAGUAAAAUUAAUUGGAAUACUAUGAAUUGUAAUCAUUUUCAUUCCAAAAUUACACCAAAAAUAAGGAGAUAA